AUGUACCAGUUUAAUCGAUUUAUCGAGAAACCGCGAACGGCUCAUUACAAUGGCCAUGAUUUACUUGAUCUUGAUUAAUCCUAAAUGGAUAACUGUGGAAAAUCUAGAGCUAAUACAUGCACUAAAGCUUUGACCUCACGGAAAAGCGCAUUUAUUAGAACAAAACCACGCGGCUUCGGCUGCUCUUUGUUGACUCAGAAUAACUAAGCUGACCGCAUGGCCUUGUGCCGGCGGCGUGUCUUUCAAGCGUCCACUUUAUCAACUUGACGGGAGCAUAAUCGACUCCCGUGGUUGUGACGGAUAACGGAGGAUCAGGGUUCGACUCCGGAGAAGGGGCCUGAGAAAUGGCCACUACGUCUAAGGAUGGCAGCAGGCGCGCAAAUUACCCACUCUCGGCUCGAGGAGGUAGUGACGAGAAAUAACGAGACCGUUCUCAUUGAGGCCGGUCAUCGGAAUGGGUACAAUCUAAACCCUUUAACGAGUAUCAAGGAGAGGGCAAGUCUGGUGCCAGCAGCCGCGGUAAUUCCAGCUUCUCCUAAUGCAUAGAAUUAUUGCUGCGGUUAAAAAGCUCGUAGUUGGAUUCGUAUCGAUACUCUGGGACCCUUCGGGUGUUUCUGGAUGUUAUCGAUUUAUCGUAAUGUUCAGUUUUGAGUCCUUAACAGGAUUCUUAACAGGCAUUGCAAGUUUACUUUGAACAAAUCAGAGUGCUUCAAACAGGCGUAUUCGCUUGAAUGAUCGUGCAUGGAAUAAUAGAAAACGAUUUCGGUUCAGUUUUAUUGGUUUUACGGACUGAGAUGAUGGUUAACAGAGACAAACGGGGGCAUUUGUAUGGCCCCGUGAGAGGUGAAAUUCUUGGACCGUGGCCAGACAAACUACAGCGAAAGCAUUUGCCAAGAAUGUCUUCAUUAAUCAAGAACGAAAGUCAGAGGUUCGAAGGCGAUCAGAUACCGCCCUAGUUCUGACCGUAAACGAUGCCAACUAGCGAUCCGCCGAUGGAGAUUAUAUUGCCUUGGGUGGGGAGCUUCCCGGAAACGAAAGUCUUCCGGUUCCGGGGGAAGUAUGGUUGCAAAGCUGAAACUUAAAGGAAUUGACGGAAGGGCACCACCAGGAGUGGAGCCUGCGGCUUAAUUUGACUCAACACGGGAAAACUCACCCGGCCCGGACACUGUGAGGAUUGACAGAUUGAUAGCUUUUUCAUGAUUCAGUGGAUGGUGGUGCAUGGCCGUUCUUAGUUCGUGGAGUGAUUUGUCUGGUUUAUUCCGAUAACGAGCGAGACUCUAACCUACUAAAUAGUUGAUAUUUUUUUUUGAAUAUACAACUUCUUAGAGGGAUUUGCGGUGUUUAGCCGAAAGAAAUUGAGCAAUAACAGGUCUGUGAUGCCCUUAGAUGUCCGGGGCUGCACGCGCGCUACACUGGCAAAAUCAACGUGCUUGUCCUUCCCCGAAAGGGGCGGGUAAACCAUUGAAAAUUUGCCGUGAUUGGGAUCGGAAAUUGCAAUUAUUUUCCGUGAACGAGGAAUUCCAAGUAAGUGCGAGUCAUCAGCUCGCGUUGAUUACGUCCCUGCCCUUUGUACACACCGCCCGUCGCUGCCCGGGACUGAGCCAUUUCGAGAAAUUUGGGGACUGUUGAUUUAACUUUUUUUAAAAAGUUUUUUUGAUGGAAACCAAUUUAAUCGCAGUAGCUUGAACCGGGC
rnacentral:rRNA from 1 species